rnacentral:rRNA from 1 species
CGCCUCUUGCAUACAUAUAAGANGGUCUUNGCCUGCCCAGUGACGCAAGUUUAACGGCCGCGGUAUUUUGACCGUGCAAAGGUAGCGUAAUCAAUCGUCUUUUAAAUGGAGACCUGUAUGAAUGGUGAAACGAAAACUCAACUGUCUCAUUCUUUUGACCAAUGAAAUUGAUCUCUCCGUGCGGAAGCGGGGAUAAACUCAUAAGACAAAAAGACCCUGUGGAGCUUUAGAUUUCUGCUUAUAUCUUAGAUUGGGGCGAUCGCGGAGAAAACACACCCUCCAUGAAGAAAUUCAUAAUUGAGAGCUACCGCUCUAAAUAUUAAAAUAUUUAACUUUAUGAACCGGCUUGCCGAUUAACGAACCCAGUUACCCCAGGGAUAACAGCGCAAUCCCCUUAAAGAGCACUUAUCACCAAGGGGGUUUACGACCUCGAUGUUGGAUCAGGACAUCCUAGUGGCGCAUCUACUAUUAAGGGUUCGUUUGUUCAACGAUUAAAGUCCU